CACGUAGGGCGCAAGCGUUGUCCGGAAUUAUUGGGCGUAAAGAGCUCGUAGGCGGUCUGUUGCGUCCGCUGUGAAAACUCGGGGCUUAACCCCGUAGCCUGCAGUGGAUACGGGCAGACUAGAGGGUAGGUAGGGGAGGAAUGGAAUUCCCGGUGUAGCGGUGAAAUGCGUACGAUAUCAAGGUGGAACACCGUGGCGAAGGCGG
rnacentral:rRNA from 1 species